rnacentral:rRNA from 1 species
UGAGGAACAUGACCCUCGGCGGGGGAUAGCCGGCCCAACGGCCGGGUAAUACCGCGUACGACCACAUGGGGACAUCCCUGAGUGGUGAAAGCAGCAAUGCGCCGAUGGAGUGCCUCGCGGCCUAUCAGCUAGUUGGUGAGGUAACGGCUCACCAAGGCAACGAUGCGUAGCCGACCUGAGAGGGUGAUCGGCCACAUUGGAACUGAGACACGGUCCAGACCUCUACGGGAGG